rnacentral:rRNA from 1 species
GAUGAACGCUAGCGGCAGGCCUAAUACAUGCAAGUCGAGGGAGAACGUUGGAUUCGUCUGACAUGAAACUGGCGCACGGGUGCGUAACACGUAUUCAACCUUCCUUUAACUGGGGUAUAGCUCAGAGAAACCUGAAUUAAUCCCCCAUAAGACUACGACAUGGCAUCAUGAUGUACUUAAAGCCCCGGCGGGUCAGGAUUGGCAUGCGGUACAUUAGCUAGUUGGUGAGGUAAUGGCUCACCAAGGCAACGAUGUAUAGGGGGUCUGAGAGGAUGAUCCCCCACACUGGUACUGAGACACGGACCAGACUCCUACGGGAGGCAGCAGUAGGGAAUAUUGGUCAAUGGACGCAAGUCUGAACCAGCCAUGCCGCGUGAAGGAUGAAGGCCCUAUGGGUCGUAAACUUCUUUUAUUAGGGAAGAAAAAACGGGAUGCGUCCUGUACUGACGGUACUUAAUGAAUAAGGAUCGGCUAACUUCGUGCCAGCAGCCGCAGUAA